UACAGAGGGUGCGAACGUUGCUCGGAAUUACUGGGCGUAAAGCGCAUGUAGGCGGAUCCAUAAGUCGGGCGUGAAAUCCCCAGGCUCAACCUGGGAACUGCGCUCGAAACUGUGGGUCUCGAGUGUCGGAGAGGGAUGGCGGAAUUCCUGGUGUAGAGGUGAAAUUCGUAGAUAUCAGGAGGAACACCGGUGGCGAGGGCG
rnacentral:rRNA from 1 species